GAAUUAUGACUGUAUAUCCGUCCCGGUGAAACGCAUUUCGCCUCUAACCCUAAUACGGCUGAAGCGAAGAAACAGAGUUAUUCUCUCUUCUGCGUGCGACGGUGAGUAGGUGACGUUUGCGAUUCAUCUCGCUAUCUGAGAUGUCUACACCAACAAUGGAGUUUGGGGAUGACGAUUGAGACAAAACGACGUGGAGAUAACGAUUCGUUUUUGGUUCUUAUCCUACAAGAUACCAGAUGUCCAGAUUCAUCGCGUUUAAGAAACUUAUUUAUUUCAUCGACGCACAUCAAGCAUGAUCUGACAUACAAUGCUGCUUAUUCCUCUUCUAGGUGGUGUUUUUCUCUUAUAUAAAGAUAAGUCUUUGUUACUUGAACAUCAUCCUCAUAGUUCUGGAUAAUCCCAAGUUAAUUGCAGUCUAAUGGCUAACACAUUUGUUUUCCUUGCUGAUCUGAACCUGGCCUCUGUUCUUUCAUCGUUGAGGUGCGACUUCUCAGGUUCUGGGAGGCACGUGAAAAACUGGGGCGAGUUGAUUGGGUUUGGGCAUGCUCCUCCUUGAUGUAAAGAGAAUCCAGUGCUGUUACCAACAGAAGAUCUUGGACAUCAGUGACAGAGACCACUUCUAGGAUUCUAGACUUCUGGCUUCAGUGGAAAGAAUACAAAGAGAUGAUGGAGUUGAUGGUGGAAUCUAUAAGGAAACAGUCCCUGGAGCUGCAUGAGAGAAAAAGAUUCUAAUUUAAAACAAUCUUUGGGAGGCCAAUUAGUUUUAAUGGCAAAAAAAAGUGAAAAGCAAAAGAGAGAACUUCAAGUUAGAAGGAACUUGAAGAAAGUGAUGCAGUGCUUGAACGGAAUGAAGAAGAAUUGGAUGAACAAUCAUAACAAGCUCAGAAUAGAAGCAAGUUUUUUUUUGUCUUUAUUGUUAGUUAUUAUCAGUAUCAAUAUCACUCACAUUGCAUGUUGAAA